UACGUAGGGGCAAGCGUUGUCCGGAAUUAUUGGGCGUAAAGAGCGCGUAGGCGGUCCGAUAAGUCGGCUGUGAAAGUCAAGGGCUCAACCCUUGAAAGCCGGCCGAUACUGUCGGACUAGAGUCCGGAAGAGGCGAGUGGAAUUCCACGUGUAGCGGUGAAAUGCGUAGAGAUGUGGAGGAACACCAGUGGCGAAGGCGACUCUUUGGCCUGUAACUGACGCUGAGGCGCGAAAGCGUGGGGAGCAAACAGG
rnacentral:rRNA from 1 species